rnacentral:rRNA from 1 species
GUGGGGAAUCUUGCACAAUGGGCGAAAGCCUGAUGCAGCGACGCCGCGUGCGGGAUGAAGGCCUUCGGGUUGUAAACCGCUUUCAGCAGGGACGAGGCCGCAAGGUGACGGUACCUGCAGAAGAAGCCCCGGCUAACUACGUGCCAGCAGCCGCGGUAAUACGUAGGGGGCAAGCGUUAUCCGGAUUCAUUGGGCGUAAAGCGCGCGUAGGCGGUCUGUUAGGUCAGGAGUUAAAUCUGGGGGCUCAACCCCUAUCCGCUCCUGAUACCGGCAGGCUUGAGUCUGGUAGGGGAAGAUGGAAUUCCAAGUGUAGCGGUGAAAUGCGCAGAUAUUUGGAAGAACACCGGUGGCGAAGGCGGUCUUCUGGGCCAUGACUGACGCUGAGGCGCGAAAGCUAGGGGAGCGAACAGGAUUAGAUACCCUAGUAGUCC